rnacentral:rRNA from 1 species
GCGUAACGCGUGGGAAUCUGCCCUUGGGUUCGGAAUAACAGUUGGAAACGACUGCUAAUACCGGAUGAUGACGAAAGUCCAAAGAUUUAUCGCCCAGGGGUGAGCCCGCGUAGGAUUAGCUAGUUGGUGAGGUAAAGGCUCACCAAGGCGACGAUCCUUAGCUGGUCUGAGAGGAUGAUCAGCCACACUGGGACUGAGACACGGCCCAGACUCCUACGGGAGGCAGCAGUAGGGAAUAUUGGACAAUGGGGGCAACCCUGAUCCAGCAAUGCCGCGUGAGUGAUGAAGGCCUUAGGGUUGUAA